rnacentral:rRNA from 1 species
GGGGAAUCUUCCGCAAUGGGCGAAAGCCUGACGGAGCAACGCCGCGUGAGUGAAGACGGCCUUCGGGUUGUAAAGCUCUGUUAUACGGGACGAAUAAUCUUGUGGUUAAUACCCAUGAGAAGUGACGGUACCGUAAGAGAAAGCCACGGCUAACUACGUGCCAGCAGCCGCGGUAAUACGUAGGUGGCAAGCGUUGUCCGGAAUUAUUGGGCGUAAAGCGCGCGCAGGCGGAUUGGUCAGUCUGUCUUAAAAGUUCGGGGCUUAACCCCGUGAUGGGAUGGAAACUGCCAAUCUAGAGUAUCGGAGAGGAAAGUGGAAUUCCUAGUGUAGCGGUGAAAUGCGUAGAUAUUAGGAAGAACACCAGUGGCGAAGGCGACUUUCUGGACGAAAACUGACGCUGAGGCGCGAAAGCCAGGGGAGCGAACGGGAUUAGAUACCCCGGUAGUCCUGGCCGUAAACGAUGGGUACUAGGUGUAGGAGGUAUCGACCCCUUCUGUGCCGGAGUUAACGCAAUAAGUACCCCGCCUGGGGAGUACGACCGCAAGGUUG